rnacentral:rRNA from 1 species
AUGAGAAACGCCGAUUGGAGGGUAGAAGUACAGCGACGGGAGGCCGUCACCGCCGACCGGCGGAACAGGGCCCUCGCCAAGAAGGCCCGUGACAACGCGGCACGCGCGGCUGCGGGUGCCGCUGCCGCUGCCGCUUCCGCGGACCAGGCCGAGGUCGAGGCGGCACGCGCGGGUAUGAUGAAUCCCCCCGGCAACCACGCGCCGUACGCGCCCUGGGGCCAGCAAGGUGUCGGGUCUCCGACGCCGCAGCCAUGGGGAUCGCCGGGCUACGCCGACGGGGACGUGCACGGUGGGUUCAAUCCAAAUGUCACGUUCCCCAUGGACACCCGGCCCAGCGCACGCCCUCGCCCGCCUUCAGCGCGCGUGCAGUACCCUCCAUACAACUACUCGCCGCCCGCGUAUGCGUCCUCCCCGACGCCCCAUCUCCGCCGUUGCGCACUGCCCUUCUCGCACCUCGGCGACGCCGACGAGACCGAAACCGACAUGGACGACAUCAUCGCGGAAGGAUCGGCCGCGGCCGCCGCGUCUCCCGGGUUCACCGCGGAUGAGGCGGUGGAUCUCAGCGGCGGCAUGGACGACGGCGACGACCACCGCUUUUUUGUACGCCGAACUUUUCAUCGAUCGCCAAUCACCGCUUGA